GGAUGUGAGGGUGACCUGGCUGUGACAUGCCAUCGUCAUUGAUUGCCAGGGUUGAUUUGGCUGAUCUGGCUGGUUAGGGACGUGUCCCUUCCUCCCUCAUGGCUCCAUGUACAUCCCUCCCAAAUCUGUGUGCUUGGGGAAAGAGGAUGACCAUUCUUGAAAGAGAAGGACUGGUCUUAUAUACAAGU
rnacentral:snRNA from 1 species